AGUAAUACAUCGGAACGUGUCUUUCUAUGGGGGGUAACUGCCCGAAAGGGCAGCUAAUACCGCAUGAGACCUGAGGGUGAAAGCGGGGGAUCGCAAGACCUCGCGCUGGAAGAGCGGCCGAUGUCCGAUUAGCUAGUUGGUGAGGUAAAGGCUCACCAAGGCGACGAUCGGUAGCUGGUCUGAGAGGACGACCAGCCACACUGGGACUGAGACACAGCCCAG
rnacentral:rRNA from 1 species